UUGGAGGGCAAGUCUGGUGCCAGCAGCCGCGGUAAUUCCAGCUCCAAUAGCGUAUAUUAAAGUUGUUGCAGUUAAAAAGCUCGUAGUUGAAUUUCGGGAUUAGUACGUUGGUCGUGCCUUCGGUACGUACUGGUGUUACUGAUUCCUACCUUCUGACGAACCAUCAUGUCAUUAAUUUGGUGUGGUGGGGAAUCAGGACUGUUACUUUGAAAAAAUUAGAGUGUUUAAAGCAGGCUCGCGCUUGAAUACAUUAGCAUGGAAUAAUGAAAUAGGACGUUGACCCUAUUUUGUUGGUUUCUAGGAUUGACGUAAUGAUUAAUAGGGAUAGUUGGGGGCAUUAGUAUUCAAUUGUCAGAGGUGAAAUUCUUGGAUUUAUUGGAGACUAACUACUGCGAAAGCAUUUGCCAAGGAUGUUUUCAUUAAUCAAGAACGAAAGUUAGGGGAUCGAAGACGAUCAGAUACCGUCGUAGUCUUAACCAUAAACUAUGCCGACUAGGGAUCGGAUGAUGUUAUUUUUAAUGACUCAUUCGGCGCCUUACGGGAAAC
rnacentral:rRNA from 1 species